rnacentral:rRNA from 1 species
UCAUGGCUCAGGACGAACGCUGGCGGCGUGCUUAACACAUGCAAGUCGAACGAUGAACCGGGUGCUUGCACCUGGGGAUUAGUGGCGAACGGGUGAGUAACACGUGAGUAACCUGCCCUGGACUCUGGGAUAACCCCGAGAAAUCGGAGCUAAUACCGGAUAGGACCUUGCCCCGCAUGGGGGUUGGUGGAAAGUUUUUCGGUCUGGGAUGGACUCGCGGCCUAUCAGCUUGUUGGUGAGGUAAUGGCUCACCAAGGCGUCGACGGGUAGCCGGCCUGAGAGGGUGACCGGCCACACUGGGACUGAGACACGGCCCAGACUCCUACGGGAGGCAGCAGUGGGGAAUAUUGCACAAUGGGCGCAAGCCUGAUGCAGCAACGCCGCGUGCGGGAUGACGGCCUUCGGGUUGUAAACCGCUGUUAGUAGGGAAGAAUCCUUUCGGGGUGACGGUACCUGCAGAAAAAGGACCGGCUAACUACGUGCCAGCAGCCGCGGUAAUACGUAGGGUCCGAGCGUUGUCUCGGAAUUAUUGGGCGUAAAGAGCUCGUAGGCGGU